UUAGCAACCAGCCGGACUGUGAAGUGCAAAGUGUCUCUGCUGGGAUUCUGCUGGCCUGAAUAUAAUUUGCUAUUGGACAAAAGGGGUGACACAGCUCACCCCUUGUCUCCAAGCAGUAAAGGUGGUUUCAAAGGCACGGCUGUAAAUUUGAAGUAUGCAUCGGUUUUUGCUCUUGCUGGGGUGGGUUCGCAGACUUUUUUUGCGUUGAGCCAGCGUUUGCUGCAAAUUGUUUGUGAGGUUUGCAGUUACAACAAAAGAAACCUGUACAGCACAGGAGAUGGCGGAGGUCUUUCUCUUCAGGGAACGUCGUGAUCUGAUCACGUUAGGUUUUGUUGCAACGCAAGCGCUACAGAGGACACGCAACAGACAGUGACAUGGGUCCGUGAGCUCAUAGCAAGGGGCACAAAGGAACCAGGAAAAGAAAUCUGAAACGAAUAGAAGUCAGAGCUGAUGUUUUUGGCAGUGAAAGAAGUGAGAGGAAAUACCCCCCAAACUUCCAGAGCCAUGUGGUUUACCUUGAGGAGGAGGUAUUAUAAGGAUUCGUUUCACUUUGCUCUUCCCCACUAUUAAGGCAGUCCUGGGAGACUCACAUCCUGGCUGUCUGGUCUCUUCAACAAACCGCAUUUGCUGAGAGCGGCGUCACAGGAAACUCUCUCCCAGAGAUAGCACAAGAAUCAGCUGUUGAGCUCCGUCUUUAUUUCUGCUUUUUUUUUCGGACUUGCUAUAGUCUCCGGAGCCCGCAGGCGGAGAGGAACAUGGGGCUCGGCUCUCUGAGCGGCCGCGGAAAGAAGAGAUGCGCUCUGAGGGAGCAGGUGAAGAUGUUUGUGAAACGCGUCAGGGGAAAGAGAGACCCCAGUGGCAGGGAGGAGACGGACCCCCUGCUGCCACUGGGAGAGAGCACAGCCCAGCAGCCCUCUGACGUGGAGGCCCAGGUGCAGGCUUGUCUGUGGGACGGCAGGCUGGUCGAGGCGUGUGUCUGUAUCCAGGAGGCAGAGAGGGCAGGGCACGCACCAGCCACCCAGCUGUACGGGGCCGUCAGCUGCCAGGUGCUUGGCAUUCUGGCUGAAGCGCUGUCCGGCAACCCAGCUUGCCUGGAGAGGAUGCCAGCUGCUGUUGAGGCUAUCCUCUGGGGUCAAAAGUGCUGCCUGGACCAGCAGGGGAAAGGACCAAGUUAUGCUCCAGUGAACUGGCGCCAACAGUUCCACCAGCUGGUGGAGAAGUCGGUAUCCAGGAAUAUCCCUCAGCUGCCCAGCCCAGACUCGGGAAGGACACUGCAGGCCUACCUAAGGGAGGUCCAGGUCACUGUGCUGUCUGAGCUGCUCCAGCUUGCUCCCUGCCUCAAGCCCGCCAGGCUGCUGGGCUGCAUCGUCAAGAGCUACAACAAGCACAUCUUCCAGCAGCUGCAGCAGGCGCUGGGCAGGAGCCUGCAAGUGUCCGAGAUCUUCCUGCUCCUGGAGUGGGUGGCGCGUGUUUAUCACAGGUGAGUGAGGGAAGGAAUUUAACUGUGUGGCAAAGCAAGAAUGUGUCUCUUAAUGCAUGACAGGCUCAGCUCCUUCUGAUCCCCCUGGCUCUGGGUGGUUCGUCACCAGCCAAGUAUCUGAUUUCAGAAUGGUCUACUGUGGCCUGUAGCAUGGCCUGAAUUUGUCCAAAUUUGUCUACAAAUUCUCCAGUAGUAUCGUCCCCUUUCACAUCUCCAUUGCUCAGUGGAGACAUUUUCCCAUCACUGCCAGCCAGAGGGACUCCAAGAGCACAGUCACUUGGAACAUACAUGCAUCAGCUUCGGAGUUAAGUUCAUGAAGUCAUCAUUGCUAGUCCUAGACUGUUUUGACUGAUGGAUCAAGAACUACCGGUACUGCAAAGAAUAUGUUUUUAUCAUGGUGUUCUUUGAACAGCAAAACUGUUCAUUACUUUUUAAGAUGCCUUGGGGGAUGUGAGUUCAUGCCCAAACCAAAGAAAAAGAAUGCAUACCCAAAAUUAUCGAGGUGCUAUCCAGUAAAAAUACAUUAAAGGAGCAAACUCAAUCAGGCACACACUUUCUCCACUCUAAAAAUAAUGUACUUAUAAGCACUUAUCAGUACUUUGCC
ensembl:lincRNA